rnacentral:rRNA from 1 species
UACGUAGGGUGCAAGCGUUAAUCGGAAUUACUGGGCGUAAAGCGUGCGCAGGCGGUUAUGCAAGACAGAUGUGAAAUCCCCGGGCUCAACCUGGGAACUGCAUUUGUGACUGCAUAGCUAGAGUACGGUAGAGGGGGAUGGAAUUCCGCGUGUAGCAGUGAAAUGCGUAGAUAUGCGGAGGAACACCGAUGGCGAAGGCAAUCCCCUGGACCUGUACUGACGCUCAUGCACGAAAGCGUGGGGAGUAAACAGG